GGAGGAUUAACCUACUGAGCCAUGGCGCUGGCCACCUUCUGGUUGUUAACUCUGAGUGCACCCUGUUUUUAACUGACCUCAGGUAUAAUUGGUAUAAUCCAUCCAUACCCUUCUGCUAACAAUCUCUUCCUUUGUCCUCAGCAACCAGUUCUGUCUUCGGUCUGAAUCCUGUUCAUCUACUUGUGUUCCUUCAGCUUCCUUCCACUAAAAUGGCCUGUUGUGUGUUGAACAGUGUCCCCUAAUCCUUGGUGCCUGUGAAUGUGACUUCACUUGGGAGGUGGAUCUUAGCAGACGUAGUUAAAUGGGAUCAUGGAGGUGAGCCCUAGUCCAAUCUGUCUAGUGGCCUUAUAAGAAAAGGAAAGCAUCACGUGAAGGCACACAGGGACAGCACAGCCACGUGAUGAUGGAAACAGCACUGGAAGUGAUGCAUCUGCAAGCUAAGGAACCAAGAUCUGCUGGGAGAGCCCAGACUUAGAAGAGGGAGAGGAGAGGGAGGAGUCUUCCCUGCAGAUGUCAGAGGGAGGAUGGUCCUGCCAACACCUCGAUUUCAGACUUACAGCCUCCAGAGUGGUGAGGCAAGACAUUCUUGUUGUUUUAAGCCAUUUGGUUUGUGGCAAUGUGUUGCAUCAGCCCUAGGAAGUUAAGACGUGGCCCACGGGAUGCUCUAAAAAUCAGAAUACUUUGGUAUGUUCUUUCUCCAGCUAAUGACUUGUAGGCUGGUGUGUGAGCCAUUUCUCUGAGUGCAAACAGGGAAGACAUGCUUACCACGAGCUGGUGCAUGGAGAGACUGUGGUCCUGAAUCACCUGGACUUGUGUGGAAGGCUGUCCAUGUGCUGCCAGUCAGCCCAACAGUGCCCCUCAGUCUGCAUGGUGCUGUCUGUGGGUUUGCCCCAAAUGGGCACAUCACUGUGCCUCUUCGCUUUUGGUUUCUGAGGACAUGACAAUGAAGAGGCUGGGACGUUCCCAGGAAAGAGUCUCAUGGACACACCCUCCCGUCCAGGCCUUCCCCCUCUGCCUCUCUGCAGGCGAAUCUCUGCUCAUAAUGCAUUCGGUUUCCAUGGCAACGGUGGCAGCAAUUCACUGAGUAGCUUUUCUUUUCUUCCUUUAAGAUUUUCAGGAUGAAAAAUUGCUUCAGAGAAAACCUAUUCUGUGUUUAAAAAAUAAUAUGUGCAUUUAGAUCCAUUCUGAUAAGACAGUCGUGAAGACAGGAAUAGUCCCAGGAUGUGAGCGCAAGAAGGAACUGGUUUUACUACUAACAAUCUGUGUGACCUUGGACAAUUGGUUCUCUUCAAUAAGUCUCAAUUUCCCCACUUAUAAAAUAUGAACCAAAUAGCAUCUACACAACAGGGUUGUAGAACACUAAAUAAAAAGGUGUACCUGAAUUGUUGGGCA
rnacentral:lncRNA from 1 species